GAUGAACGCUGGCGGCGUGCCUAAUACAUGCAAGUCGAGCGAACGGACGAGAAGCUUGCUUCUCUGAUGUUAGCGGCGGACGGGUGAGUAACACGUGGAUAACCUACCUAUAAGACUGGGAUAACUUCGGGAAACCGGAGCUAAUACCGGAUAAUAUUUUGAACCGCAUGGUUCAAAAGUGAAAGACGGUCUUGCUGUCACUUAUAGAUGGAUCCGCGCUGCAUUAGCUAGUUGGUAAGGUAACGGCUUACCAAGGCAACGAUGCAUAGCCGACCUGAGAGGGUUAUCGGCCAACCGGGAACUGAGCACCGGCCCAAACCCCUACGGGAGGCAGCAGUGGGGAAUCUUCCGCAAUGGGCGAAAGCCUGACGGAGCAACGCCGCGUGAGUGAUGAAGGUCUGCGGAUCGUAAAACUCUGUUAUUAGGGAAAAAAAUACGUGUAAGUAACUGUGCACCUCUUGACGGUACCAAAUCAGAAAGCCACGGCUAACUACGG
rnacentral:rRNA from 1 species